rnacentral:rRNA from 1 species
AGGGCAUACGGCGGAUGCCUAGGCGCCAUCAGCCGAUGAAGGACGCGGUAAGCUGCGAAAAGCUACGGGGAACUGCAAGCAAGUAUUGAUCCGUAGAUGUCCGAAUGGGGAAACCCACCUGCCGUCAUGGGCAGGUAUCCGAAAGGAAGGGAACCCGGGGAACUGAAACAUCUAAGUACCCGGAGGAAGAGAAAUCAAACGAGAUGCCCACAGUAGCGGCGAGCGAAGAGGGCAGAGGGCAAACCGGGGAGCUACGGCUCUCCGGGGUUGAGGACUGCAUUUAGUCUUAAUGGUUUAUCCGAACUACCUGGAAAGGUAGGCAACACAGUGUAAAAGCCACGUAGGUUAAAGGCCGGAGAGAUGAGCAGUAUCCAGAGUACCACGAGGCACGAGGAAUCUUGUGGGAAGCCGGGGGGACCACCCUCCAACCCUAAACACUGAAUGGCGACCGAUAGCGCAUAGUACCGUGAGGGAAAGGUGAAAAGAACCCCGGGAGGGGAGUGAAAGAGAACCUGAAACCGUAUGUCUACAAGCAGUCGGAGCGAAAGCGACGGCGUGCCUAUUGAAGAAUGAACCAACGAGUUACGUGCACUAGCGAGGUUAAGUGGAAGACACGGAGCCGAAGCGAAAGCGAGUCUUAAGAGGGCGGAUAGUUAGUGUACGUAGACCCGAAACCGCAGUGAUCUACCCAUGUCCAGGUUGAAGCGCAGGUAAAAUUGCGUGGAGGACCGAACCUGUGAGCGUUGAAAAGCUUUAGGAUGAGAUGUGGGUAGAGGUGAAAUUCCAAUCGAACGCGGAGAUAGCUGGUUCUCCCCGAAAUAGCUUUAGGGCUAGCCUCAAGUAGUAAGUAUAGGCGGUAGAGCACUGAUCGGGCUAGGGGCCAUAAAGGUUACCGAACCCUGUCAAACUCCGAAUGGUUAUACUGUAGAGCUUGGGAGUCAGACUACGAGUGAUAAGAUCCGUGGUCAAAAGGGAAACAGCCCAGACCACCAGCUAAGGUCCCCAAUGUCGUACUAAGUGGAAAAGGAUGUGGGGUCUCUAAAACAACCAGGAUGUUGGCUUAGAAGCAGCCACUCAUUUAAAGAGUGCGUAAUAGCUCACUGGUCGAGAGACCCUGCGCCGAAGAUUACCGGGGCUAAAGUACGAAACCGAAGCUGUGGCUACGACAUAUGUCGUGGGGUAGGGGAGCGUUCUGUGAGGGCUGAAGUCGUUCUGUAAGGAACGGUGGACUUCACAGAAGUGAGAAUGUUGGUAUGAGUAGCGAAAAGAAUGGUGAGAAUCCAUUCCACCGAAAGCAUAAGGAUUCCUGGGCAACGAUCGUCGUCCCAGGGUAAGUCGGGACCUAAUCCGAGGCAUGGAGCGUAGGAGAUGGACAACUGGCAGAUAUUCCAGUACCGGUAAUGAUUGUUUGAGCGAUGGAGUGACACAGGAGGGCAGGCAGGCAGGAGAUUGGUUGUUCCUGUACAAGCGUGUAGGAUGGGACGCAGGCAAAUCCGCGUCCUGUGAGUCUGAGGCGUGAUGUGGAGGUUCCGGAAACGGAACUGAAGCUGCUGACCCCACACUGUCGAGAAAAGCUUCUAGUUAGAGAAUUACCGCCCGUACCGUAAACCGACACAGGUAUGCGGGGAGAGAAUCCUAAGGUGCGCGGGAGAACCCUCGUUAAGGAACUCGGCAAAAUGUACCCGUAACUUCGGGAUAAGGGUAGCCGCUGUUGUGAAGUCUGAACAGACGGAGCAUGAGGCGGUCGCAGAGAAGAGGCCCAAGCGACUGUUUACCACAAACACAGGUGCCUGCUAAAGAGAAAUCUGACGUAUAGGUGCUGACACCUGCCCAGUGCCGGAAGGUUAAGGAAGGAUGUCCGGAGCAAUCCAAAGCAUUCGACCGAAGCCCCGGUGAACGGCGGCCGUAACUAUAACGGUCCUAAGGUAGCGAAAUUCCUUGUCGGGUAAGUUCCGACCCGCACGAAAGGUGUAACGAUUUGGGCACUGUCUCAACGAGGGACCCGGUGAAAUUGAAGUACCUGUGAAGAUGCAGGUUACCCGCGACUGGACAGAAAGACCCCAUGGAGCUUUACUGUAACCUGACAUUGGGUUCUGAUACAUCACGUACAGGAUAGGUGGGA